UCCUUUGGUUUAGCGGCGGACGGGUGAGUAACACGUGGGCAACCUGCCCUGCAGAUCGGGAUAACUCCGGGAAACCGGUGCUAAUACCGAAUAGUUUGCGGCCUCUCAUGAGGCUGCACGGAAAGACGGUUUCGGCUGUCACUGCAGGAUGGGCCCGCGGCGCAUUAGCUAGUUGGUGAGGUAACGGCUCACCAAGGCCACGAUGCGUAGCCGACCUGAGAGGGUGAUCGGCCACACUGGGACUGAGACACGGCCCAGACUCCUACGGGAGGCAGCAGUAGGGAAUCUUCCGCAAUGGACGAAAGUCUGACGGAGCAACGCCGCGUGAGUGAAGAAGGUUUUCGGAUCGUAAAACUCUGUUGUGAGGGAAGAACAAGUACCAACUAACUACUGGUACCUUGACGGUACCUCACCAGAAAGCCACGGCUAACUACGUGCCAGCAGCCGCGGUAAUACGUAGGUGGCAAGCGUUGUCCGGAAUUAUUGGGCGUAAAGCGCGCGCAGGCGGUCCUUUAAGUCUGAUGUGAAAGCCCACGGCUCAACCGUGGAGGGUCAUUGGAAACUGGGGGACUUGAGUGCAGAAGAGGAAAGUGGAAUUCCACGUGUAGCGGUGAAAUGCGUAGAGAUGUGGAGGAACACCAGUGGCGAAGGCGACUUUCUGGUCUGUAACUGACG
rnacentral:rRNA from 1 species